rnacentral:rRNA from 1 species
UAAGACGAGGGAUCCUAGCGUUGUUCGGAAUCCCUGGGCGUAAAGCGUUUGUAGGCGGCUCUAUAAGUCGGGUGUGAAAUCCCAUGGCUCAACCAUGGAAGUGCAUUCGAAACUGCAGAGCUUGAAUAUGGAAGAGGAGAGCAGAAUUGCUGGUGUAGUGGUGAAAUACGUAGAUAUCAGCAGGAAUACCGGUGGCGAAGGCGGCUCUCUGGUCCAAUAUUGACGCUGAGAAACGAAAGUGCGGGGAUCAAACAGGAUUAGAUACCCUGGUAGUCCGCACCGUAAACGAUGGACACUUGGUGUUGGAGGUAUUGACCCCUUCAGUGCCGAAGCUAACGCGUUAAGUGACCCGCCUGGGAAGUACGGUCGCAAGAUUAAAACUCAAAGAAAUUGACGGGGGCCCGCACAAGCGGUGGAAGCAUGUGGUUCAAUUCGAUGCAACGCGAAAAACCUUACCUGGGUUUGAAGUGCUAGUGAAUGCGGUAGAGAUAUCGCAGGCCUUCGGGACACUAGUAUCAGGUGCUGCAUGGCUGUCGUCAGCUCGUGUCGUGAGAUGUCGGGUUAAGUCCCAUAACGAGCGCAACCCCUGUGUUUAGUUGCCAGCAUUAAGUUGGGCACUCUAGACAGACUGCCGACGUUAAGUCGGAGGAAGGUGGGGAUGACGUCAAGUCCUCAUGGCCUUUAUGUCCAGGGCUACACACGUGCUACAAUGGUCGGUACAAAGGGAUGCAAGACUGCAAAGUGGAGCAAAUCCCAAAAAACCGAUCUAAGUUCGGAUAGGAGUCUGCAACUCGACUCCUUGAAGCUGGAAUCGCUAGUAAUCGCGGAUCAGCAUGCCGCGGUGAAUACGUUCCCGGGCCUUGUACACACCGCCCGUCACACCAUGAAAGCCGUUUGUACCAGAAGUCGCUGUGCUAACGUAAGAGGCAGGCGCCCAAGGUAUGGAGGGUGAUUGGGGUG